UAGGGAAUCUUCCACAAUGGACACAAGUCUGAUGGAGCAACGCCGCGUGAGUGAAGAAGGUUUUCGGACCGUAAAGCUCUGUUGUUGGUGAAGAAGGAUAGAGGUAGUAACUGGCCUUUAUUUGACGGUAAUCAACCAGAAAGUCACGGCUAACUACGUGCCAGCAGCCGCGGUAAUACGUAGGUGGCAAGCGUUGUCCGGAUUUAUUGGGCGUAAAACGAGCGCAGGCGGAAGAAUAAGUCUGAUGUGAAAGCCCUCGGCUUAACCGAGGAAUUGCAUCGGAAACUGUUUUCUUGAGUGCAGAAGAGGAGAGUAGAACUCCAUGUGUAGCGGUGGAAUGCGUAGAUAUAUGGAAGAAUACCAGUGGCGAAGGCGGCUCUCUGGUCUGCAACUGACGCUGAGGCUCGAAAGCAUGGGUAGCGAACAGGAUUAGAUACCCUGGUAGUCCAUGCCGUAAACGAUGAGUGCUAAGUGUUGGGAGGCUUCCGCCUCUCAGUGCUGCAGCUAACGCAUUAAGCACUCCGCCUGGGGGAGUACGACCGCAAGGUUGAAAC
rnacentral:rRNA from 1 species